GUAGGUGGCAAGCGUUGUCCGGAAUUAUUGGGCGUAAAGCGCGCGCAGGCGGUUCUUUAAGUCUGAUGUGAAAGCCCACGGCUCAACCGCGGAGGGUCAUUGGAAACUGGAGAACUUGAGUACAGAAGAGGAAAGCGGAAUUCCACGUGUAGCGGUGAAAUGCGUAGAGAUGUGGAGGAACACCAGUGGCGAAGGCGGCUUUCUGGUCUGUAACUGACGCUGAGGCGCGAAAGCGUGGGGAGCAAACAGGAUUAGAUACCCUGGUAGUCCACGCCGUAAACGAUGAGUGCUAAGUGUUAGGGGGGUUUUCCGUCCCCCCCGUUAGUGCUGCAGCUAACGCAUUAAGCACUCCGCCCUGGGAGUACGGCCGCAAGGCUG
rnacentral:rRNA from 1 species